UUUAUCCGAGAAAAAAGAAAAACAAAUAAUAUCUCCUUCACUGAGUCUCCAAUUCUCUUUUCUCUUCGACCUCUCACAGAAUUGUAACACUGAGGGUUCGAGAUCGAGAAUUUAAUGAUAAAGAAGGUCGUUGUCUGAUUCCGUUGGCAGAGUAGAUGGGGAAGAAAUUGAUGGUGGUCUGUUGAUAUCGAGGAGAAGGAAUUGAUGGAAAUUUGCUAAAUUAGGGUUUGGAUUGAGAUAUGAAGAUGAUUCUGAUAAUACUGGUGUUAACAUCGAGGAAUUGGAAUUGGGUUUUGUCUGUAUUAGGUUUUGAGAUGUUGGUGACGAGCUCUGUCCAGAAGAAUUGAUAUUAGGGUUUGGUGAUCUGAGCGAAUUCUGUUUAUAUUUCGGUAAUCUUUUUCGAUUAUGUUGUUGAAUUCAGAGAAGCAGAUUCAGAGUAAACAGCGAGGAAUCGAAGUGGUUUUGAUUGAAGUAGAUUUGGGUUUGUCUCGAAUUAACAGUUCAGAGAAGAUGAUAAUGGUAAAAUUGGAGUUAGGGUUUAUGGUGAAAUUGGAGUUAAGGUUUAUUGAUUUGUCCUGAUUGCUCUGUGAUUGAUUUCUCGGUUGAUGCACGAAUUUCUCGAAAUUGUGGCCCUCAGGUUGAUCAUGCAGGUAUCAUAAGCCAUUGUGAGCAGCAACACCAGUUUAAUCACUGUUACUACAGAAAGUGGUGAGUACCCUUCAGGAACAUACUAGGAAGAUCAACGAAGCCUGAAGGAUUUUUAUGUACCUAAUCAGGUAGUUUUUAUUAAGUUCUUCCCAAUGUCAUAAUAUGCAUUCCCAAAUUGCAUUUUCCAGUCGUAUAAUUACUAGCGCUGAUGUAUAUUGGAAUAUAUUCUUUUCAUUUGUCCUUCGCUAGAAAGGUGUCAUGAGCGGGGAAAGGGGAAGAUACCACUUAAACAUGAUUUUGUCUAUUUGAUCUUUGUCGGCCUUACACACAAGUGCAGUUAGACAUGUAAUAUAUAUUAACUUAAUUUAGUUUGCAUGCGCAUAAACCACUUUGUUAAUCGAUACAUCAUCUUCUACAGAGGUCAUGUACAUCACAAUGCCAGGCUUCUCUCUACGAAAGUUGGUCAAUGGUGCUCGAUAAAUGUCUCGAGCUUACAGUUUGUUAAGAAUCCUGUUUUUGGUUACUGGAUAAAGAAUCCUUUUUUUUUUGUUACUGGAAUUAGCAUCCUCUGACUUAUAUGUUCCUGCCAUUACAGAGCAAGCACAACAGACACCUGGCCCCUACUGAUAAUACAGACUGAUCCGUGAACGUUUGAUUGUGGAAGACCUUCCAUUCCUAGAAAAGACCUACAGAUUUGGGCAUCACUAACUUAUCUGGGUUUUCUUUUAGUAUCUAUAUCUAUCAUUCUCGAAUCCUUGGCAGGGAUGGUGGUACUCUGGGAACUUGCCUUACGGAAUGGGUAGAUAUGCUCAGUUCAGUUUAGCAGAUGGGGGAUUGAUGUGUGAUGUUGUCCAUUGUGGGGCUGUGAAGAAAGCAUACUUAAUUAAAAUUCCCUCUUUGGAUUCGACAUGAUGAUUCUACCUUUCUAGACUGUCCUCUGAGAACUUCCAAUACUAGAUUCUUGAGCAUGCUAUAGAUGGAAAAUCCAAGAUAACAUUGAGGUACUCAUUAAGUAGUUUUUGAAGUUGUUGAGGAGCUAGUUGUUCCUGAGAAUAAAUUCAUAUAAGGGCAAAAUCAGUUUCUUUAAUAAGUGAAUAGAGUUCAAAAGAUAACAGUGGUUUGGUUGUAUGGAUUGCGCUUGACAACCACCCUCUGUAUUGUGAAGCACACAAUUUAUUUUGUGUCCAUAUUGAUGCGCUAAAGGUACGUG